GGGGGAGGGUCUAUGAUGGUGUUGGUAAGUCAGUUACUUCCAGGAGACUCAAGAGUGAAGACGUCUCUCUGAGCUCUACACAAUGCUCCACGUUUCUUUUAAGGUAUGUGUUAAUUGUGGUUAUAUUCACGUUAGGUGUUUAUAUGGACGUAUUUAACGAUAAGUUGACCAAUAACUGCUCCUUAUAUUGGUAAAUUACUGAAGGUAAUUGUUAAUUGAACAAUGUUGAAGUAGUUUUAUCGGUCGAAGUCUUUAUUCUAGUUAGUAUUGUAGAUAUAUUUAAUUUCUUCACUUCUCUUUACAGAUGAGAGAUGUGAUUGGUUGUUGGUGGAAGACCAUCAUCACCUCGUUCCUGUUCCAUACAUUGAGAAGUGUGGGAGGUGGAAGACCAUGGCUGGGUGUUUGACAUUGGCUGAAGGUUUUAUAUACUGGAGGUUUGGCAGUUAGGUGUGAACCACAUGAGUGGAGGUGUUGAGCCUGUAAAGCCAACAAGAGGAAUUCUUACUAUUUCGGUAAAUUUUUGCGAGAAGUUUUAUCAUGUGUUCGAUGUUAAAGCUGUUUAUAAUAAUAUGCUGUAUCAGUUUAAUGGUGAAAAUAAAUGUGGAAUAUAAUUUA